UUGUCAUGAUUCACCUCUCCAAUAGGUGUUGAUUGAAAGUGCCGGGCUGGCCACAACCAGCCCGGUGCGCCU
rfam:Comamonadaceae bacterium SCN 68-20 ABT02_C0085, whole genome shotgun sequence.